CGCAAGGAAUGCUGGGAUACUGGAGGUCCGCCCAGCGCUUCCUGCGGGUGUAGCAAUCUGUCAGAGUUAAGAGAUGGAUCAUUUUAUACCUUUAUUGUUUUAUCGGGGCUCUCUGAAUUGGCAAAUUUGGCAUCCGGGAAGAAAUGGCCAGGGGCUGCUAAAUGCCUGAUAUCUGGAGGAAGGACUGAUUUCAGAGUCACUUCAUUUGACCUCAGGAAGGUACAGCUAAUUAGCCAGCCAUGAAGAACUGAGGAGACAGGUCUACACAUCAAGUCUCUAGGAUGUCCUUCCAGGAUAGUAAAAACAAUUCAAAAAUUCAUGGAGAACCACAAAAGACUCAGAAUAGUCAAAGCAGUGUUGAGAAGAAGGAACAAAAUUGGAGGCGUCACACUUCCUGAUUUCAAAAUAUAUUAGAGUUACUGGAAUCAAAACAGUGUGUGGUACUGGCAUACAGACAAACCAUAUAGACCAAUAGAGCAGAAUAGGGCAACCAGAAAUAGAUCUAUGCAUAUAUGAUCAACUGAUCUUUAACAAGAGAGCCAAGAAUAUACAAUGAGGAAAAGUAGUCUUUCCAACAAAUGAUACUGGGAAAACUGGAUAAACACCUGCAAAAGAAUCAACUCAAGAAUGAAUUAAAGACUUACACGUAAGACCGAAGACUGUAAAACUCUAGAAGAAAACACAGAGGAAAAGCUUCAUGACAGUGGUCUUGCUAUUGAUUUUAUGGAUAUGGUACCAAAGUCAUAGGCAACAAGAACAAGAACAAAAAUAAACAAAUGAGACUAUAUUAAACUAUAAAGCUUCUGCACAACAAAGGAACCAAUCAACAGUAUGAAAAGGCAACUUACAGAAUAGUAGAAAUUAUUUGAAGACCAUAUAUCUGAUAAGAAGUUAAUAUCUAAAAUAUGUAAAAACUCUUACAACUCAAUUUUUAAAAAAUGUAAUAGCUUAAUUUAAAAAUGGCUUGAGUGAGGACUUGGAUAGGCAUUUCUCCAUAGAAGACGUAAAAUGGCCAACAGGUAUAUGAAAAGUGUUUAAUGUUACUAAUCAUCCCGGAAAUGCAAACCAAUGCCACAAUGGGAUAUUACUGCCCAUCUGUCAAAGUGACUAUUAUUUAAAGUCAAAAAAGUAAAAACAAGAAGUGUUGGUGAGGAUGUGGAGAAAUUGGAACCCUUACACACUGUUGAUGGGAAUGCAAGAUGAUGCAGCUACUGUGAAAAACAGUAUAGAGAUUCCUCAAAAAAUUAAAAAUAUAACUACCAUAUAAUCCAUGAACCCUUUCUGGGUAUUUAUCCAAAAGAAUUGAAAUUGGACCCCCAAAGAGAUAUUAGCAUUUCUUGUUAAUUAUAACACUAUUCACAGUUAUGGAAACAAGUUAAAUAUCCAUUGCAGUUGAAUUGUUAAAGAAAACGUAUUAUAUACAUGAACAAUGGAAUACUACUUAGCCUUUAAAAAGAAGGAAAUUUUGCAAUAUGUAACAACAUGGGUAAACCUUGAGGACAUUAUGCUAGGUGAAAUCAGCCAGUCACAAAAAGACACACACUGAACAGUUCCACUUAUAAGAAGUAUUUAAAUAUCCAAAUUCAUAGAAUUAAAGGAUAGUAUGGUGGUUGUCAGGGGAUGGGAGAAGGAGAAAAUGUGAAUUCCUAAUCAACAGCCCUAAACGUUCAUUUAAACAAAAGGUUGUCUUCUAGAGAUGAACUUUGUAGCAUUAUACUUACAAUCAACAGUACUGUUGACUUAAAAGUUACCAAAAAAUUUAAGAGACUGGAUCUCAUGUUAAGUGCACUUACUACAGUAAAAUAAAAAAACUUUGAAGUAUAACUACUGGGUAUUUACCCUAAAGAUACAAACAUAGUGAUCUGAAGGGGCACGUGCACCCGAAUGUUUAUAGCAGCAGUGUCCACAAUAGCCAAACUAUGGAAAGAACCUAGAUGUCCAUCAACAGAUGAAUGGAUAAAGAAGAUGUGGUAUAUAUACACAAUGGAAUACUAUGCAGCCAUCAAAAGAAAUGAAAUCUUGCCAUGUGCGACGACAUGGAUGGAACUAGAGCGUAUCAUGCUUAGCGAAAUAAGUCAAGCAGAGAAAGACAACUAUCAUAUGAUCUCCCUGAUAUGAGGAAGUGGUGAUGCAACAUGGGGGCUUAAGUGGGUAGGAGAAGAAUCAAUGAAACAAGAUGGGAUUGGGAGGGAGACAAACCAUGAGUGACUCUUAAUCUCACAAAACAAACUGAGGGUUGCUGGGGGGAGGGGGGUUGGGAGAAGGAGGGUGGGGUUAUGGACAUUGGGGAGGGUAUGU